CGGCUAACUACGUGCCAGCAGCCGCGGUAAUACGUAGGGCGCGAGCGUUGUCCGGAAUUAUUGGGCGUAAAGAGCUUGUAGGCGGUUGGUCGCGUCUGCUGUGAAAGGCUGGGGCUUAACCCUGGUUUUGCAGUGGGUACGGGCUAACUAGAGUGCAGUAGGGGAGACUGGAAUUCCUGGUGUAGCGGUGGAAUGCGCAGAUAUCAGGAGGAACACCGAUGGCGAAGGCAGGUCUCUGGGCUGUAACUGACGCUGAGAAGCGAAAGCAUGGGGAGCGAACAGGAUUAGAUACCCUGGUAGUCCAUGCCGUAAACGUUGGGCACUAGGUGUGGGGGACAUUCCACGUUUUCCGCGCCGUAGCUAACGCAUUAAGUGCCCCGCCUGGGGAGUACGGCCGCAAGGCUAAAACUCAAAGAAAUUGACGGGGGCCCGCACAAGCGGCGGAGCAUGCGGAUUAAUUCGAUGCAACGCGAAGAACCUUACCAAGGCUUGACAUAUACUGGACUGCGUCAGAGAUGGCGUUUCCCUUCGGGGCUGGUAUACAGGUGGUGCAUGGUUGUCGUCAGCUCGUGUCGUGAGAUGUUGGGUUAAGUCCCGCAACGAGCGCAACCCUCGUUCUAUGUUGCCAGCACGUGAUGGUGGGGACUCAUAGGAGACUGCCGGGGUUAACUCGGAGGAAGGUGGGGAUGACGUCAAAUCAUCAUGCCCCUUAUGUCUUGGGCUUCACGCAUGCUACAAUGGCCGGUACAGAGGGUUGCGAUACUGUGAGGUGGAGCUAAUCCCUAAAAGCCGGUCUCAGUUCGGAUUGGGG
rnacentral:rRNA from 1 species